rnacentral:rRNA from 1 species
ACUGGCCCAACUGAUUGAUGGUGCUUGCACCUGAUUGACGAUGGAUCACCAGUGAGUGGCGGACGGGUGAGUAACACGUAGGUAACCUGCCCCGGAGCGGGGGAUAACAUUUGGAAACAGAUGCUAAUACCGCAUAACAACAAAAGCCACAUGGCUUUUGUUUGAAAGAUGGCUUUGGCUAUCACUCUGGGAUGGACCUGCGGUGCAUUAGCUAGUUGGUAAGGUAACGGCUUACCAAGGCGAUGAUGCAUAGCCGAGUUGAGAGACUGAUCGGCCACAAUGGAACUGAGACACGGUCCAUACUCCUACGGGAGGCAGCAGUAGGGAAUCUUCCACGAUGGGCGCAAGCCUGAUGGAGCAACAACGCGUGAAUGAAGAAGGGUUUCGGCUCGUAAAGCUCUGUUGUUGGAGAAGAACGUGCGUGAGAGUAACUGUUCACGCAGUGACGGUAUCCAACCAGAAAGUCACGGCUAACUACGUG